AGGAGCGCGUAGUGCGUUUCGGGGGGCGGGAUUGUGCUGAGGCAGCGGUGCUGAGGUGUUUGUAGCAGUAAUAUGGCCGCUGCGGUGAUGUUGGUGUGUCGGGCUGAGAGGUUGCGGCGGGGACUGUUUGCGCUGGUGCUGCUGUGUUACGUGCAUUUUUCAACAGCAGCCGAUGUGUCUCCCCCAGAGGAACUGUUUAUUGAAAAUGGAACCCAGGCACUGCUCCCCUGCAACUUCAAGUCAAUGGAGACCACCGGCGUCGAUCAAUCCAUCACAUGGACAUUCAGACCGGACUCUGGGAGCAAUUCUGUGACGAUUUUACUUUACUCCAGCGGCAACUCUUACCCAGUGACUACUGGUCAGUUUAAGGACAGAAUAAGCUGGGCUGGAGAUCUCACUAGGAAGGAUGCCUCUAUCAAAGUAGACAACAUGCAGUUUAAAGACAACGGCACCUACACAUGCUUCGUGGUGACUCUGCCAGACCUUGGGAGCUUGAACAAAGAAAUUCAGCUAAGAGUGGUGGAGAAAGGUGAACAAAAAAGCCUGCCCUUAUCGAAUGGCCCGUUACUGAUUGGGAUUAUAUGUGCAGUAAUAAGUGCCCUCCUUAUCAUUGCAAGUAUCAUCUUUGCAAUUUGCAUCUACAAAAAGAAAAAAUCAAGAAAAAGCUAUACCGGAUUGUUUGAGGUAGUCGAUGGAAUAUCACCAUUAAAGGGAUAUUCUGCAGCACAACUGACAGUUUGAUGACUCAGACUCCUGUUAAACUGCCGCCAUGCAAGUCUCCCUCUGACACAGAGGCUUUGGUAACCCAGGUACCCUCUGGAUCUGUUCAGGGGCCAGUAAUCUAUGCCCAGCUGGAUCACUCCGGAAAGACGAGCAACCAGAUUAACAAGUCUGAAAGGGUCGUGUACUCUGACAUUCGAAAAAUAUGCUGACUUUCCUGUCUUUCCAAGCAACCUUCGUUCUGGAACUGGAAUUGCUUAUCCGGAAGCCACAUGUGGCCUUGUAACCCAGGACCAAUGCAUGUGCCAGUGGAAAUGACCCACGAGUGGAUUUCAGGGGAAACCUGCACUUAAGAGCUGAACCCGAUGAUUCCAAUGCCUUCACUUGAAAACACACUUCUCUUGUUUCCGGCAGUGGGAAAAGAGCUCCAGUCUCACGUGUGUUUCCACCUCUCCACUGGGGGGAAGUGCAACUUGUAAACUGUGUAAAGGCGUCCGCUAACGAUACAGUUCUGUAUGUGCUGUGGCUGAAGAAACCGGCUCUAGUUUCAUUUUGGCUUUGCACUUUAUAUUGUGGUAGUCGUUUGAUUCUUCUGAAUGUGACCCGCAACCCGCCAUCGUUUGUUGAUCUCAGGUAUGAGGAAGUGUUGGCUUUUGGUAUCAUUCAUUGGCAUCUCGUCACGGCUGUGGGCAAGUGGAAGUGAGCAGAAGGCAAGUCUACUUUAAUAACACUCCUGAUGUCUCCUCCUCUCUGCAUAAUGGAGAAAGUGGUCUUCUCCUCCCUGCAUAAUAGAGAAAGGGGUCUCCUCCUUUGCAUAAUGGAGAAAGGGGUCUCCUCCUCUUUGCAUAAUGGAGAAAGGGGUCUCCUCCUCUUUGCAUAAUGGAGAAAGGGGUCUCCUCCUCUCUGCAUAAUGGAGAAAGGGGUCUCCUCCUCUCUGCAUAAUGGAGAAAGGGGUCUCCUCCUCUCUGCAUAAUGGAGAAAGGGGUCUUCUCCUCUCUGCAUAAUGGAGAAAGGGUGUCUUCUCCUCUCUGCAUAAUGGAGAAAGGGAUAUUCUCCUCUGCAUAAUGGAGAAAGGGGUAUCCUCCUCUCUGCAUAAUGGAGAAAGGGGGUCUUCUCAUCUCUGCAUAAUGGAGAAAGGGGGUCUUCUCCUCUCUGCAUAAUGGAGAAAGGGGUCUUCUCCUCUCUGCAUAAUGGAGAAAGGGGUCUUCUCCUCUCUGCAUAAUGGAGAAAGGGGUCUUCUCCUCUCUGCAUAAUGGAGAAAGGGGUCUUCUCCUCUCUGCAUAAUGGAGAAAGGGGUCUUCUCCUGUCUGCAUAAUGGAGAAAGGGGUCUUCUCCUCUCUGCAUAAUGGAGAAAGGGGUCUUCUCCUCUCUGCAUAAUGGAGAAAGGGGGUCUUCUCCUCUCUGCAUAAUGGAGAAAGGGGUCUCCUCCUCUCUGCAUAAUGGAGAAAGGGGUCUUCUCCUCUCUGCAUAAUGGAGCAAGGGGUCUUCUCCUAUCUGGAGAAUGGGGGUCUUCUCAUCUCCGCAUAAUAGAGAAAGGGGUCUUCUCCUCUCUGCAUAAUGGAGAAAGGGGUCUUCUCCUCUCUGCAUAAUGGAGAAAGGGGGUCUUCUCUCUGCAUAAUGGAGAAAGGGGAUCUUCUCCUCAUGGAAUGGGGUCCAUGGGGCUUUUCCAAGAGACUUUGGCCUAACAGAAUCCUACCAUUAGUAGAGAUAUAUAUGCAUUCAGGAGCUGUGUAUAUAAUCCGUAUUCUUUCCAGCUUCCACCUCUGCAGCCAAAAAAAUACGGUUCCACUAAUGUAUAUACCUAUUGUCUGCAGUAUAUAGUACAUGGAAAUGCUUAAAGCAGUGGGGAAAGUCCCUUCGAGAACUCACUUUCUCCACAACAGACUGAUAUAACCGUGUAUUAUUGCUGCAUUUACUCAUAACCAUCUUUGUAAAUAUUCCCCAUUGCCCCAUUUAAACCGACUCAGAGACCAAUGCUGCAUGUCUGAGUGAGCUUUUUUUUUUUUUGCCAUAUUUUUUAAUGUUAUAUUUAAGGAAAACUGGAAAAUCAGAAUCUAAAAUAGGAAGUAUAUUUGUAAGAAGUUAUAUAUUAAGUACAACAGGUGCCUCUGUAACCAGAUGCCACUAGCCUGAGCCCUUCUGGCACCAUAAUACCCACAUUUACUCCAAGUUUAGCUCUCCCCGUGUGCUGCAAGAUUUUCUCAUCUCUGGUUUGGGAAAUUCACAUUCCCUUGUAUGUUCUCUUCCAGAGUCCAGACUCUCCCUCUGACUUAUUGAGUCAUAAACAUCCUCACAGUGGGGCUUUGUCAGGCCCAGACUUUGAUCUGUUUUAAUGUAAGAUCAGGGACACUGGAAUAUACAGAUACCCAAGUGUAACUGCAGCUGCCGGGGACAGGACCGGAUAUUGUCAUUGAUCAACAAUGACAAUAACUUUUUAUAGGUGUUGUUUUUUUUUUUUGUGCAUUGAUAACAUUCCAACUUGUAAAUAAAUAUAAAUGCC